AGAACGAACGCUGGCGGCAUGCCUAACACAUGCAAGUCGAACGAGACCUUUCGGGGUCUAGUGGCGCACGGGUGCGUAACGCGUGGGAAUCUGCCCCUUGGUUCGGAAUAACAGUUAGAAAUGACUGCUAAUACCGGAUGACGACGUAAGUCCAAAGAUUUAUCGCCGAGGGAUGAGCCCGCGUAGGAUUAGCUAGUUGGUGAGGUAAUGGCUCACCAAGGCGACGAUCCUUAGCUGGUCUGAGAGGAUGAUCAGCCACACUGGGACUGAGACACGGCCCAAACUCCUACGGGAGGCAGCAGUGGGAAUAUUGGACAAUGGGCGCAAGCCUGAUCCAGCCAUGCCGCGUGAGUGAUGACGGCCUUAGGGUUGUAAAGCUCUUUCGCUCGGGACGAUAAUGACGGUACCGAGAUAAGACGCCCCGCUAACUUCGUGCCAGCAGCCGC
rnacentral:rRNA from 1 species